GCCUGAGCCCGUGCCUGUCUUCAGAUCUUCACAGCACAGUUCCUGGGAAGGUGGAGCCACCAGCCUCUCCCUGACAAGCAAAGUGGAUCAGCAAAGGCUGCAGUCACCAGCAUCUUUUCCAACCUUAAUGAACUGUAUCCUCAAAAGAACACUAUCAGACUGGCUCUGCCGACUUCCAGUUCUGGAACAAGAUGGUUAAACUCAUUUUUCCCUGCUCUGCUCCUCUAAAUACAACUAAGUACCUUGGAAACUAUUCAGCAGACAAUGAUAAAGGGCUCUGAAAGCUAGAAGAAAAGGUGUACUUGCAAGAAACCUCAGGACUUGAGUAACAGCAACAUGGAGCAGGCACAGAGAAAGAGCACCCUCACUACAUGGCUGGGGUCACAAGUGGCCUGACAAUAUCCAACUGUCCUGGAAAAAUGAAAAAAAACAGACUUCUGCCCAGAAUUAUUCUUCUAUGGUGCUGGUGGAAGUGGGAUGAGGCCUGUUUCAAAGUGAAUUUAAAGGAGUGAAGCUAGUGGACUGUGAGUUGGACUAAAAUGCAGGAGGCCAAGCAAAUGGCCAUCAGAAGCCCUGCCCCAGGCCUGUGCCAAUUCCCAUGAGGGCGUGAGCUGGAUGCUGCAGCUGGACUCUGCUGUAAUGGACACGGUGGCCCUCUGGGACCUGAUGCUGACAGUGCAUCCUGUGACCAUGGGAAAGCCUGCAACCAGAAAAGCCAGCAGCACAAAGGGGCGUAGCACUUAAGUCUGUUGUUAUUACUGCUAUUGCCUCUUCAGAAUACUUCCCAAUAACAUGCUCGUCGAAAUGGAAUGAAAACCAACACCAAAUGCUUCCCAGUUAAUAACAGAUCGCUCGAACUGUGCAAGAUACAGGCAGAUAUUAACUCUUGUUCUGACUCAAUUUCACUUUAUCAUGAAAAUACACUGGACCAAAUCUAUGCAUCUGAGUCCAGACUGGAGUUGCAUCACAAAAAGUGAUGAGGAAAGACGCAAAAAUAGUCUGAAAUUUUGCCACAGAUGCAACUGAAUUUAUAAAGAAAACCAGAAUCAUGGUAUUCUGAGGACUACAAAUGAUUCAACAAAGCCUGAGAAUCUCCCUCAUUUGGAAUUCCACUGUGCCCGAUUUAUUUUCCAUUGCCAAGGCACUACUGGUAAAGCUAUACAAAAUGAAGCACACCCACUGAAGGUUCAGGGACCAUGGCAGAAGAGCAAGGCACAUGAGACUGUAAGAGCCAGAUUGGGAGCUGGAGUGUGGAGGCCAAACAACUCCAUCUUGUAUGCUAAUCUGCUGUGUUAACUUCUGAUUAACCCUGGUUUUGCGAAUGCCUCCAAGAUUUCUAUUUUAUCUACUGUUCCUUGGGUAUGAGCAUGUACUUACCAUCAAUCCUGUCCUUAGUUUGAUAUUAUCUUUCCAUAAAUCCUGAACUUAAGCCAACUGUCCUAUACAUCCCUUCUGAAGCAUAUAUACACUUUCCCUAUGGCUCAUAAGCCCUGGGUCUGGAGUGUAACCAUGCACGGAUCUACCAUCUCAUCUUGAGGCUGCCCGAGAUAGGGUUUCUGUUUGUAAAUACCUAUUAAAUGUUUCUUUCUGAGAAAACAAUAAGAAGAAAAGAGAGGAAAGGUCUCAAAACAUUAUUCCAAGUGUCUGUCUCAAGAAACUAGGAAAAGAACCUAGCACAAAGCAAGCAAAAGGAAAUAAUAAACAAUAAAUUUAAUAAUAGGAAAGUAGAGAAAAAUCAGUGGAACAAAAAGCUGAUUAAAAAAAUCAAAACUGAUAAACUUUUGGAAAGACUGACAGAGAUAAAAAAGACACAAAUUACCAGUAUUAGAAAUGAAGCAGGGGUUAUCACAACAGAUCCUGCAUCCAUUAAAAAUAUUGGAAUGCUACAAAUACUUUUCACAUUCAUAAAUUCAACAACUUAGAAGAAAGGGACCAAUUCUUCAAA
ensembl:lncRNA MIR4435-2HG MIR4435-2 host gene